AAAUGGCUGCGGCCCCUUUAAAACCUGCCCGCUUCCUUUUCCUUUUCCUCCCUCCGCCCCCUUCCAUUGGCCCGUACCAAAGCACAGAGGGAGAAAAGAGGCAAAGAAGAAUCAACGCCAAGCAAAGGAAGGAGCAGAAGAGGAGAGGUCAAAGGAGAAGGAAGCCUAGAUGAAUAUCUCUACUUUCCUUUUUGCGGAAGGUGUGACUUCCUGGAAACAAAGAUAAGAAAAGAUUCCUCCCUCCCGGCGAGGCAAGGUUAUUUAGUACAGUCCACAUUUUUCCUUCCCCGCCCCCUCUCUCUCGGGCCUAAUUGGCUCUCGCAGGCUCCAGGCUACGAACUGACGGCUAGAGAGGCUGAAGGGCGGCCUAGGGUGUAGUUGCUCCUUGCGUGCCCCUAGUGGUAGGAGAAUUAGAUCCCAGGCUCCACCCUACGGGGUCCUCCCAAGUUUCUGCAGCCUCCGUCUUUGGAGUCACCGCCCCCAACCAGGGACCUGGAGGGAGAUGGAAUGCCCUACUACAAGGAAUGACGAGAAAAAGAGCAGCCGGCUGUCCCAAGCCGCAACAUCCUUCGGUGGAGGUUCGAAGGCUUCAUUAUCCCGUUCUGAGGAAUUCUUGACCCGGAUCAGCACAGAACUCACUAAUGAGGCCUUGUUUAUCGCUGGCUACCACAUGAACCCUGUGCCCACUAAGGAAAAACAGACACAAGACCGAGGGACUCAGAUAUCCAAACAUGCUCUGACAGAAACCGUACCCACACCAAAGCACACCUCCUGCCAUCCCCUCGUGACAAGGUAUGUACUGAGUCCCUGGAUGACAAGACCAUUCAGUAUUAACCAAACAUUAAGAGUUUGCAUGAUAUGCCAGUCCUCGAUUUAGGAACUUAGGACACAGAAAGAAAUGAUACAGUCUCUGUCCUUGAAGAGUUCACAAUGUAGUGUGGCACCAGUCAAGUUAAUGGCCAAUUACAAUAUAAAAUGGAUGAGUGUCCCUAACAGAAAUGGAAACAGCGGGAAGAGCACUUAUCCUAGCCUCAGUUGGGACAGAAAGGAAAGGAACCAUGGAGUACCUACAGAAAGAAUUUUCCGGGAAAAAAACAGGGAGCUCUGCCUAGCAGCUUGACAUCUGGAGGAUGAUCCCCACCCUCUUUGGUGCUGCUCUUGGCCUCUCAUGCACUCCCCAAUCCUAUAUCUUUAGAACAUGCUUCAGAGCUCCUCUUUGACAAUUUACUAAUCACUUCAGUUUGGGCGAGGACUCCUGGUCAUGAGCAGCAUCACCUCUGAAGCCUCCAAAGUGUUCUGAAACCAUCACACACCUUUUUACCCUCAGCUGGCAAAGAUACCACCAGAAAUCCAAGGCUUUAAUAAAGAGACAGAGAUCCUUCCCUCCUCCCAACUCAA